UACGUAGGGGGCAAGCGUUAUCCGGAUUUACUGGGUGUAAAGGGGGCGCAGACGGCGAUGCAAGCCAGGAGUGAAAGCCCGGGGCCCAACCCCGGGACUGCUCUGGAAACUGCGGCGCUGGAGUACGGGAGGGGCAGGCGGAAUUCCUGGUGUAGCGGUGAAAUGCGUAGAUAUCAGGAGGAACACCGGCGGCGAAGGCGGCCUGCUGGACCGCGACUGACGUUGAGGCUCGAGAGCGUGGGGAGCAAACAGG
rnacentral:rRNA from 1 species